GAGUCAGUCAUCUGCAAGAUAUGAAGAUGGAGAACAUUUGUACCCAACACAAACAACAUCCUUUCAUUCUUAUCCAUGUAAUAAUUUCACUUUAAGCGGCCAAGGAGGGAAAGGCUUGCUAAAAGAGAGGAACAAGAAGCCAAUAGUCCAUGGGGGAACAGAGACUGAAUCCUGGCAGAAAAGACUUGCUGAACCCCCUCUGGUGAAUGGCACCAUGAUGCCAGGUCAACUUUACCAGAUGAUGAAGCCCUUGACAGAUCCUCUUUAUUUUUGGGUACACCCUGUGGAUAGGCCAGGUACCUCCAGCGUUCCUAGUACCAAUGGUUGGGAACCACAGCUCACUAAUGGCCAUAAUGAUGACCUGAGUCCCAAUACUGUGAUUCAGAAUAAACCUCAAGAGUAAUGGCCUGUCUGACAGAAGCAUUCAUCACCUUGGGUCAGCAGAAGAGACCACUGCUCUGGUGGAUAAGCAGGCCUUGGACAAGGACCAAGUCACCAAAUGCCUUUAGUUAAUAGGUAGUACUGUGAGUGGUCAUUCAGUUUUCCAUUAUUUGCUGGUGAACUGGUAACUUGCUAACUGAAUUAUGGGUUUGGUUGUUUUCAUGCUCAGCAUUUUUUUUCACCAAAAGACAAAGGACCUAAUGACAUGGAGUCAAGGAGAUGCAAACUUAUAAAACGUGAUAAGAUAUUAUUAAGUAUAAGAUAUCUUGUUAAAGAAUAUUACAUGAGUGCCUCCCGAGUGGUGCAGCGGUCUAAGGCACUAAGGGUUCAAUCCCGGACUGUGUCGCAGCCGGCCGCGACCGGGAGUCCCAUGAGGCGG
rnacentral:lncRNA from 1 species